rnacentral:rRNA from 1 species
GUGGGGAAUAUUGGACAAUGGGGGGAACCCUGAUCCAGCCAUGCCGCGUGUGUGAAGAAGGCCUUUUGGUUGUAAAGCACUUUAAGCGAGGAGGAGGCUACCGAGAUUAAUACUCUUGGAUAGUGGACGUUACUCGCAGAAUAAGCACCGGCUAACUCUGUGCCAGCAGCCGCGGUAAUACAGAGGGUGCAAGCGUUAAUCGGAUUUCCUGGGCGUAAAGCGCGCGUAGGUGACCAAUUCAGUCAAAUGUGAAAUCCCCGAGCUUAACUUGGGAAUUGCAGUCGAUACUGGUUGGCUAGAGUAUGGGAGAGGAUGGUAGAAUUCCAGGUGUAGCGGUGAAAUGCGUAGAGAUCUGGAGGAAUACCGAUGGCGAAGGCAGCCAUCUGGCCUAAUACUGACACUGAGGUGCGAAAGCAUGGGGAGCAAACAGGAUUAGAUACCCCUGUAGUCC